rnacentral:ncRNA from 1 species
GUAAUAGCUAAGAGUGGAAUAAGUAGUAGAAAUCUCCCUAUUAUAGAGAGCUGAUGGUCGGUGGAAAUCAGCAUAUAGAUUUUCUAUGAAUUACAUCCAGGAGCUUCUUUCCUGAAAAGGUUUAAAACCUUAGUAGGUAAAGACGGAUUAUUUUCCGUUAACAAUCCGAGAUAGGACGUGUGUCCUAAGUAGGGUGGUACCGCGAUUUUUUCGCCCCUUCA